AGAAACCCUGUCUCAAAACAACAAAAACAAACAAACAAACAAAAACCAAACAAGAAAGAAGAAGGAGGUGGGAGAGGAGGAAGUAAUUGUCUUUCUGAUUGUGCAUUUAUCAGUUGAGGGAUUUAGGAAAUAGAAUCCUUCAGUUUGUGCCUUGUUCUGCUUCCUCUCUCGUCAUAAAUACUGACAUUCAACCUUGUUGCUUGGGUUGGUUUUGAUUAGGUUUGCCAGUUUUCCAUUCUGUGUGGAUUUCUGAAAAAUGGGUCAUAGCUUUUUUGUUCUGGUAUUUACCACAGGAGCACUGGUUGUCUUGUCCACAGGGUGGGAAGUUUGACCUGAGCAAUGUGGACGGGAGAGCUAAGCAGGCAAUCAUGGCCUGGAUCUUAGGAUGGCCCUGAUUGUGCCCGUCCUGCCCCACCCCACCACCAGGAUUCACAUGCCUAAGGAAUAUAAAAUUGCUGACAGGAUACUUGAGGUAGUCUGUGACAGAUCUUCCAAAGAGCCAUAAUGUAUCAGGUUUCACUACUUGUUCUCAAAAUUGGUUGCAUCUUCUGUGAGAUGGCAGGGUUCUUGUAUGGGUCCUAGGGUUCUAGAUCUUUCCUGAAAUGAAAACUAUCUACAAAGUGAAUUCCAAAACACCCAGGUCUCUAAAGAGAAACCCUGUAGCUUACAGCAAUUCUCCCUCUGCCCUUGCGCCUAGGCUUACAUGGAUACACUACUAUGCCCUUUUAUAUUUUAAACGUAUAGACCACUAAAUGACUGUCAAAACUCACUGUUUCUGUUAUUUGAAUAGGCAUGAUAAUCCUUGUAUUCUUUAUGAAAAGAAUUAUUUUUUGCUCUCUAUGACCAUACUAUUUGGUAAGAUAAAAAUUGUAAGUUUUGAGCCAGGCGAUGGUGGUGCACGCCUUUAGUCCCAGCACUUGGGAGGCAAAGGCAGAGGCAGGCGAAUUUCUGAGUUCAAGGCCAGCUUGGACUACAAAGUGAGUUCCAGGGCUAUACAGAGAAACCCUGUCUCCUAAACAAAACAAAACAAAAUUGUAAGUUGGAGGCAAGAGCUGUGUUGUAACACACUUUGCUUGCCGUGUGGGCCCUAGGUUUGACUCAGGAGGUGUGGUGGGAAGAAAUUAAAUUAGAGGUAUGGAUGACUGAGGAUUUUAUUUUAGUCCUAGCAUUUCAUUUAAUUGUAUUUGAUUUUGCCUCAAUAAAUCCAUCCUAACAGGCAAAACUGAGGAUAGAAGAUUUAUAUCACUGUCUCAGUAUUUUUUCCAGUUUUAACUGAUUCAAAGUUUAGGAUUAGUAAACAUUUUGUUUCCAAAUGGAGCUGAUUCCUGUCUGUGCCUGAGUCUGUGCCUUUAAUCCCAGCACGUAGAAGGCCCAGGCAGGCAGAUUUAAGAGUUCUAAGCCACCCAGGGCUACAUAUUGAGACCUUGCUCAAAAACAAACCAAAGCAAAAAACCCAGUGUUUCCUUUCCAUAAAUCCAAAAUAUAAUAUCAUACAGUUACAGUCCCGUGUAAGGGAAUAUGCCUCUGCAAAUGUGCCUAACCUUUGCUGACAUGGUUUUCCUAGGCAGAAACAGACCUGAAUUAUUCUAAACCUCUCAGGAUGGUUGCCACCUCUUCCUUAGUAUGUUUAGCUAAAACUUAAAUAUCGUUUGAAAUGACAGAGGAAGCUUCGUUGCAAGUUCUUAAUGUAAUAAAUGACCUUGCAUACAUCAGUAUGUUGAUGGUUUCUUCCUUACCUGUCCUCACUCAGACCGUUCACUUCUCCCUUCUUGUCCUCAGUUUUGCGUUCCUUUGAGUGAGAAUAAAAUAACACUAGUUGGUUUUCCAUGAACCUUCCUUCCCUCUUACUACAUCUUUCUGGGCAGGAUUAUUCUUGUGAUUAUUUGUGAUGGACAGGACACUCACACUAUGGAUUCCAUAGAUAGGUGAAGAUGACACUCCUCCUGGUCUCACAUUUACAGAUAAUGCCCUAAGACUUUUGGCACACUCUCCAGAGUUUGGCCACCUCUGGGGAAAUGGUGUGGCUCAGGAGCGGAUAUGAAGGUCUGCUGGGAUGUAUUGAUCCCUGCAGGUAGAGGAUCUUUUGGGUGUUAUUGUUUGGUCUUUCUUGUAAGAAACUAGGAGCUGGAGAGGUGGCUUAACAGUUAAAAGUAUUGGCUGUUCUUCCAGAGGACUAGGGUUCAAUUUCCAGCCCUUACCUGUCCAGCUCCAUUUCCAGGAAACUCUUGUCACAUACACACACAUUUAUACCUAGUGAAAAUAAAUUGGCCAUAUAGAUUUUUUUGUUUGUUUAUUUUUGCUCGUUUUGGUUUUUUCCAUUACCAAGAUACUCUCAAAAUUAAUCACAAACAAAAGAAGAAACAGCUUCUGUGUGACUUCCUUUGUGAGGUUCUCAUGGAGUUCAGGCUGACUUUGAACUCGCUGUGUAACCCAGGAUGACCUUUCCUCCAGCCUGCGAUCACAGGUGUCUGCCACCUCCUGCUUUGUUUGAAUGUAGUACUGGAGAUUGAACCCAGAGCUUCAUGCAUGCUGGGCAAGCGCCCUCCUACUGAGCACCCUACCACCUCACACCACUUUUUCCUAACUUUAAAAUAAUAGUAGUUAGAUUCCAGACCUUCCAAAAAUACUUAUGUUAUAAAUUACAGCAGGUGACUUAAGGUUAUGAAACAACUUUACAUGGCUUUACAUAGGGUACUUAUAAAUGCUGCAUGCUUUUUGGAGUAUUUUGAAAUUAAGUGUUACCAUCCAGGCUUUAUGUAUCUGUAUAGUGACUUACUGUCACCUGAAUCAGGUGACUGUCUCUGGGAUAAACUAAUUCAGUUCUCUUGAGUGAUCUCUUGGCUAUCUGUUUAAUUUUAUUGUUAUUAUUGUUAUUUUCUGUGUAUGAAUGUUUUGCCUACAUGAUGGCUCUGUGCUCUUUGGGUGCCUUCGAUCUUCGGGACCUGGAGCUGCAUACAGUUGCACAUCAUCAUGUGGGUGCUGGGAGUCAGACUCAGGUCCUUGGAAGAGCAGGCAGGAUUCUCAGCCACCUCUUCAGUCCCUCUUGGUAUUUAAGACAGGUCUCCUACAACUUAGGUUGGCCUCGAACUUGAUAUGUUGCUGAGGCUGACAUUAAAUUCCUCUACUCCCAAGUGUUGUAAUUAGAGGCACCAUGGCAGGCUUUCUGUGUUGUUUUGCUCUUUUAACAAAGAGCUGAGGUUCUUUUUUUUUUUUAAAGAUUUAUUUAUUUAUUAUAUAUAAAUACACCGUAACAGUAACUGCUUACUGCUGGCUAUUGAACACUGGGAAUUCGCUGUCAAGAGUUGACUAUGGC
rnacentral:lncRNA from 1 species